rnacentral:rRNA from 1 species
ACGCUGGCGGCGGCCUAACACAUGCAAGUCNAGCGGCAGCGACAACAUUGAAUCUUCGGAUGAUUUGUUGGGCGGCGAGCGGCGGACGGGUGAGUAAUGCCUGGGAAUAUGCCUUAGUGUGGGGGAUAACUAUUGGAAACGAUAGCUAAUACCGCAUAACGUCUUCGGACCAAAGAGGGGGACCUUCGGGCCUCUCGCGCUAAGAUUAGCCCAGGUGGGAUUAGCUAGUUGGUGAGGUAAUGGCUCACCAAGGCGACGAUCCCUAGCUGGUUUGAGAGGAUGAUCAGCCACACUGGAACUGAGACACGGUCCAGACUCCUACGGGAGGCAGCAGUGGGGAAUAUUGCACAAUGGGGGAAACCCUGAUGCAGCCAUGCCGCGUGUAUGAAGAAGGCCUUCGGGUUGUAAAGUACUUUCAGUCGUGAGGAAGGGGUAAUCAUUAAUAGUGGUUGCCCUUGACGUUAGCGACAGAAGAAGCACCGGCUAACUCCGUGCCAGCAGCCGCGGUAAUACGGAGGGUGCGAGCGUUAAUCGGGAAUUACUGGGCGUAAAGCGCAUGCAGGCGGG